CAGUCGCCGCGGGAAUACGGAGGGUGCAAGCGUUAAUCGGAAUUAUUGGGCGUAAAGGGCUCGCAGGCGGUUUCUUAAGUCUGAUGUGAAAGCCCCCGGCUCAACCGGGGAGGGUCAUUGGAAACUGGGAAACUUGAGUGCAGAAGAGGAGAGUGGAAUUCCACGUGUAGCGGUGAAAUGCGUAGAGAUGUGGAGGAACACCAGUGGCGAAGGCGACUCUCUGGUCUGUAACUGACGCUGAGGAGCGAAAGCGUGGGGAGCGAACAGGAUUAGAGACCCCCGUAGUCCCUGUCUCUUAUAC
rnacentral:rRNA from 1 species